UUGAGGAAAUUAAAUUAGCAUUCUGGGCAGAUUCAGCAGCUCCGGCAGGCUUAACGUUUGCAACACUGGCCUUAGUAGAAGGAGUCUGAGGUCUGUUUUCUGCAGUGCCAGUUACGUGAUCAAAUCUCUCUAUACCAGAACUGCGUUUGGGUGGCGCAUUGACCAAUGAACCAGUUUGCGAACCUACUGUAGAAGGCGGUCUGCGAGCAAUAGAAGUA